AGUGAGGGAAAAAUACAAAAUGCAGCAUUUUCAUGCUUAGAGAAAGAAAGAGAAAACACAGGCUGACCGUACAUAGCAGGAACUGAUACUUGCUUCUUCCUUAACUAUGAGCCAUUCAUUUACAGCCAUGUGCAAAUGCCUAUGUGCAGAUGUAUGCACCUAUCCUCUUUCACAGAAAAUAUGUGCCUCACUUCUGGAACAUUAUUAGUGAAUUUAGAAUGGGAGAAAGAUGGCAGAUUAUGGUUUGAGGUGGAAAGAUCUGGAGGCACACACACAAAAAAUGAGCAUCCACCCUUCUUCCUUGAGCAACUCCCGGGUUGAAAGGUGCUUCCAGACUCAACUCAGUCAAUGGUCCUUUCUUCCAGUAUUUAAAGGAUGCUACUGCCAGGAUGUGACAAUGUACUUCAAUGGACUUUAUGGGGAACAAGAAGACAUCUUCUCACUAGGGCUACAAAGUGCAUAGAAUGCAUGUUGGAUGCUCUGUUACUGUGAAGGGAGAGUCACCCAGAUAAUAAAGCCAGCAUUGAGGCUUGAAGAGCAAAGACUGAGGUUUCCAAACGAAGACACCAUUAUGUCUCAAGACUGGAACAUGGAAACCCUGCCUGAGUUUUCUACCUGCUGGCCUACCUGCAGAUUCAGACACUAGACUGCAACAUCAACUCGUACUUGAAUUUCCAGUCUGCCUGUCUGCCCUACAGAUUUUGGACUUGCCAGCCCCCACAAUUGCAUGAGCAAAUUAAAAAAAAAAAUCUUAUUUCUCUCUCCCCCCAU
rnacentral:lncRNA from 1 species